UGGGGAAUUUUGGACAAUGGGGGAAACCCUGAUCCAGCCAUCCCGCGUGUGCGAUGAAGGCCUUCGGUUGUAAAGCACUUUUGGCAGGAAAGAAACGUCGCGGGUUAAUACCCCGCGAAACUGACGGUACCUGCAGAAUAAGCACCGGCUAACUACGUGCCAGCAGCCGCGGUAAUACGUAGGGUGCAAGCGUUAAUCGGAAUUACUGGGCGUAAAGCGUGCGCAGGCGGUUCGGAAAGAAAGAUGUGAAAUCCCCAGAGCUUAACUUUGGAACUGCAUUUUUAACUACCGGGCUAGAGUGUGUCAGAGGGAGGUGGAAUUCCGCGUGUAGCAGUGAAAUGCGUAGAUAUGCGGAGGAACACCCGAUGGCGAAGGCAGCCUCCUGGGAUAACACUGACGCUCAUGCACGAAAGCGUGGGGAGCAAACAGGAUUAGAUACCCUGGUAGUCCACGCCCUAAACGAUGUCAACUAG
rnacentral:rRNA from 1 species